AUUCCUAAAUUCUGUGAAGGAGGCACUGGCAGCUUAGUAUUGCGGGCGGGGGGGGGGGAGAAAGGGAGGAAGUUUCUUCCAGUUGUGAUUAUGCGCAGAGUUUCCUUGUACUGAGCUUAGUUUUCUCCACCCACUACUUAGUGAGAACUCUUUAACUAGAAGACUAACAACUUAAAGCUUUAUCCCUGUGAGUACCAGAAAAGUGAUCUGAGUAUUUAUUAAACAGAGAGAACAAACUGCCUACUUCAGGCAGGGAGGAAGCGUAUGGAAAUUAUAUUAGAACUUCAGCAAAGUGCAGAGCUGCAUAAUACAGAAGCUGGGACUCAAAUUGACAGGCUAAUAAGCCAGCUCACUGAAGGGGGCUCUGUGUGGCAGCUCUGAGUUACUAAGUGUUGGACAACUAUAGGCAAAAUGUGAAAUGGAACAGGGCAGAAAAUAACACACUAACUUCAGGCAACUGUUGCUUUCUCCUGGUCUUCAGGGAUUUUACAUUCUGUAGCUGGCAAAACAAGUCCCCAUUUAAAUAUUAAGCUUACUACAUUAAUGACUGUGAAGUACUUGUUCCUUGGAACUGCACCUGUUCAGCAUGACACCUUGCUUUGCUGGUGAUGUCACAUGCAGCACUGACUAUAAUUGGAGAAUGGAACCUCUUUGUGGGUGCAAGUCUGCAGUCGCACGGCUGGUGGUGUGGCACAGACAGAGCAAGGGUUACAUCAAGGCUGUUCUCUGGACCGUGCAAACAGUCUAGACCAAUGACCUGCAGCAUCAUGCCCUUUGAAGAAGAGGCAAGUUCGGUCACGAUGAAGAAAAAUCAAGGCGUACCCCUUUUAACAAUAGGGAGCAGCUCGUGGCUGCAAAGAGGUGGAUGA
rnacentral:lncRNA from 1 species